AACGAACGCUGGCAGCGUGGAUUAGGCAUGCAAGUCGAACGGGAUCCGGAAGGUAGCAAUACCGGCCGGUGAGAGUGGCGGAAGGGCGAGGAGCACGUGUACAACCUGUCCCGUUGGUGGGGAUACCGUCCCGAAAGGGGCGUUAAUACCGAAUGGGUCCCCUGACCGCAUGGUCCGGCGGCCCAAGGCGGGGACCGCAAGGCCCCCCCCCCCGGCAGGGGUCCGCGCACGAUCAGCUAGACGGCGGGGUAACGGCCCACCGUGGCUUACGGUUAGCUGGUCUGAGAGGACGACCAGCCGCACUGGGACUGAGACACUGCCCAGACUCCUACGGGAGGCUGCAGUCGAGGAUCAUUCGCAAUGGGCGAAAGCCUGACGAUGCGACGCGGCGUGGAGGAUGAAGGCCCUCGGGUCGUAAACUCCUGUCAUGGGGGGCGAGGCGGAGGCGGUUAACGGCCGCCCGAGUUGACGGUACCCCAAGAGGAAGCCACGGCUAACUCUGUG
rnacentral:rRNA from 1 species